rnacentral:lncRNA from 1 species
AAUUUUAUCAUUUUUCAUUGGCAGGGCAUGUAGUAUUUAUAUUGUCACCCAAUUUCCCAUCUCUGUUCUUGAAUUGGUUCUACAGUUAAAAUACAUUCCCUGAUGACUAGACACUACACCUGGGUGGCUAAAGUGAUGGGAAAAUUAUUCUCUGAGAUUGUUGUUAUGGGCUGAGUUGUGUUCCCCAAAAGUCAUAUACUGAAGUCACAAUCUCUAUACUUCCAAAUGUAACUAUAUUUGGAGAUAAAGACUUUAAAGGAAUGAUUAAGUUAAAAUGAGGCCUUUAGGAGUUCCUACUGUGGCACAAUGGGUUAAUGAUCCACUUGUCUCUGUGGAGGCACUGGUUUGAUCCCUGGCCCAGAUCUGGCCUUGCUGCAGCUGUGGUGUAGGUUGCAGCUCCCGCUUGGAUUUGAUCCCUGGCCUGGGAACUUCCAUAUGCCUCGUGGUUGGUCAAAAAAGAAAAAGGCCAUUAUUGUGAGGCUCUAAUUUAACUGGGCGGCUAGCUGCAAGCCAAGGAAAGAAGCCAGUUGCAAGCCAAGGAACCUCAAGGGAAAACAGCCUUCCGGCACCUGGAUCUCUAGCUUGUAACCCCCAGAACUGUGAGAAAAUAAAUUUCCAUUGUUUAAGCCACCUUUUUAUGUACAUUUUUGCUAUGGUGGCACUAGCAAACUAAUACAAUCAUGUAAGUUCAAAACUUUUUGUUUGCAGCCUUCACGCCUGAAGGACAGUUGGCUGGAUAUAAAACCAUGGCUCAUUCUUCUUUCUUUUCUUGGAUAAUUUGCUGGCAUUGCUCCAUUGCCUCUUGGUGUGAAUGUGUGCUGCACAGAAAUCUGAAGCUAGCCCGAUAUGUUCCUCCUCCUUCGUCCUUCUUCAUGACUUGAUUCUUUUGACUGGCUUCCCAAAAGGAUUCUUUUUUUUUUUUUAAAAGAAUUAUCUUUUUUUAAUGCCAAUAUUUGAUACAUACAUACCAAAGGGAGAAAAAUAUAUAGUGUGUGUGUAUAUUAUAUGUAAUUAUAUAACAUAAACACUUACGGUGUAAAGCAUAAAAUAAUGACUAUCACAGAAACCACCACUCUAAGACAGGAUGAACCUGUAUGUCCUUACACCAUCCUCUUGCCUUUUCUCCAGAGGCACACCCUAUCCCAACUGUUGUGUUUAUUAUCCCACUGUUGGGUUUUUUUUUUUUUUUUUUUGGUCUUUUCUAGGGCCACACUUGCAGCACAUGGAGGUCCCCAGGCUAGGGAAGAAUCUGAUGGUAUAUUUCUCAAAAGUGUGGUAGAAUUCACCAGCAAAAUCAAUGGAGUUUGUUUUAUUUUUUGUGAGAAGAUUUUUGUUUGUUUGUUUUUUUGCUAUGCCCAUGGCAUGCAGAAGUUCCCAGGCCAGGGAUUGUACCCUAUGCCACAGCAGUGGCCCAAACCACAGCAGUGACAGCUCUGGAUUCUUAACCUGCUGAGUUGGCAGCGAACUCCAUGAAAAGAUUUUUUUAAACCGAUUGCUUCAAUCUAUUUCGGAGUUGUAAGACCCAAAUCAGUUGGAUAAAUUACCUUUUCCCUAGAAAUUUGUGUUCUUUAUCUGAUUUCAAAUUUAUUGGCAUAAAGUUGUUACCUGUAUCCUUAUUUCUUUAGUCU